CAGGAGGAUGUUUCUCUCCAGCGCCCCCUGUGAAACCUGAAAGUAGCUGAAGUAAAAUCAGAUGGGACCCCAGUGAGCAGCUUGAAGAAGACACCACAGUGACUGUGUCCUCUAGUCACCCAGCACUCCCACUCAGUGGGCUGUGGGCCUCAGGCUGCAGAAUCACAGGGAGGCCUUCAUUACCUGUCAACCUCUCACCAGGCUGUGAGAUGGACCAUCAUUCACUCUGAUCCCCACAAGUCCACACGGUCAUAAUGAAGACAUGAACGCCUCGAUAAAGGCCUGCACAGUUCACAUGUAGGAUGCGGUGGUGCAGCGGCCGCUGCGCAGGUUUGCGGACAGAGGUGAACCGUCUCCCCGGCUUUGGAGCCCGAAACCCGGAG